GCCAGUGUGGUGUAAUGGUUUGAGCAUUGGAUUAUGACUCUGGAGGCCAGGGUUGGAAUCCUGGCUCAGCCA
rnacentral:tRNA from 1 species